rnacentral:lncRNA from 1 species
CUAUUUCUGUAAAUAGAUAGGUUUAUUAGUUUCCUAUUUCUGUAAAUAGAUAGGUUUAUGAUUUAGAAAUAAGUUAGUUUAGGAAUAAGUUAGUUUCCUAUUAUGUCUCUUGUUUCCUAUUUCUUCUCUUGUAAUCUCCUAUAUAAACCAUGUGUAUAGUCAAUCUAAUAGAUAGAACUUAUUAUUUUUCAUCCCAUAUUUUGUGUCAUGGUAUCAGAGCUAUAGGUUUUUAAGACCUGAGCAUCAUUCUGGCCUUCAUCGCCAUUUUUCUAGCCUUCAUAGCUGGAUUUUUUUUUUUUUUAUUCACGUGUUCUUUUACCAGCCUUCAUUGCUACUGGUUUUUCUUUAUCGCAAUCUGCCUUAAUUCCCAAGAGAUCAGAUUUUUUUGGUAGAUGUCGGAGGUUGCAGAGACGACUACUACAGCACAAUUGGAGGAGAUUGUUCGAUCUCAACAAUCCGGGGAAUUGCAAAACAUUCAAGCUGCAUAUAGGUUAGAUGGAAAAAAUUACCUUAAAUGGUCUCAACUUGUUCGCACUGUGCUGAAAGGGAAAUGGAAGAUCAGCCAUCUUAUGGGUACAGGGCCAAAACUGGGAGAUCCCCGUUUUGAAGCAUGGGAUGAAGAAGAUUCUAUGAUUAUAGUGUGGCUGUGGAAUUCUAUGACUCCUGAGAUUAGCGACACAUGUAUGUUCUUGGCCACAGCUAAGGAUAUUUGGGACGCAAUCCAACAGACGUAUUCACAAGCUAGAGAUGCGGCUCAAGUAUAUGAGGUUAAGGUGAAGACGAUUGCUGCAAAACAGGGAAGUAAAACAGUUACUGAAUAUGCCAAUCAAUUGAAAGCUUUGUGGCAAGAACUUGAUCAUUAUAGGGUGAUAAAAACCAAAUGUCCUGAGGAUGCCGCUAUUCUAAAGGAUUUCAUUGAACAAGAUAGAGUCUAUGAUUUUCUUGUUGGGCUUAACCCAGAAUUUGAUCAAGUGAGAAUCCAGAUUCUUGGCAAACAGGAGGUUCCACGCGUUAAUGAGGUGGUGGCAUUGAUUCGAGGCGAGGAAAGCCAAAGGAGUGUUAUGCUUGAACCACAAACCUUGGAUGGAUCAACCAUAGUUGCAAAAACAGAAUAUUCAGAACAAGGAGAGAAUAAUCUGCCUAAACACUUAGGUAGAGACAAUCAGUGGAAGGAGAACAAGGACAAUCUCUGGUGCACCUUUUGCAAGAAACCAAGGCACACAAAAGAGAAGUGUUGGAAGCUGAAUGGUAAACCACCAAGUCGUGAAUGGGGAAACCGUGGAGGGCAACAAAGGCCUCAAGCACACAUGUCAGAGCAGCCCAAAACUGAGGAAAAUUCAGCAACAGGCGGGUUCAAUAGUGAAGAAAUGGAGAAGCUGAGAAACUUGUUGGGAUCCCUUGACAAACUUACUGGAACUUGUUCUUUGGCUCUUUCAGGUACACCUUCACUCUCUUUUUGCAUAAAUGCCUCACAUAGAGUUUAUGAUGACUCUUGGAUAAUAGACUCUGGUGCCACAAACCAUAUGACCUCCAAAUCUCAAUUUUUCCAUACCUAUACCCCAAGCCCAAGUAACAAGAAAAUUAUAGUGGACAAUGGCUCUUUAGCUGCCAUUGCAGGUUUCGGAGACAUAUACAGCAGUCUCUACCCCAAUGGAUCCAAACCACAAGUUGGGAGAAGCUAAAGAGGAACCAAUGGUGGAUAAAAGAAUGUACCAGAGGUUGGUUGGUAGACUCAUAUACCUUGCUCACACUCGACCAGACAUCGCCUACUUGGUGAGCGUGAUCAGUCAAUUCAUGCAUGAUCCAAGAGAACCUCAUCUUCAAACUGCUUACAAGGUGCUACAUUACUUGAAAAGCAACCCCGGGAAAGAAAUUUUGUUCAAGAAGAACAAUACUCUUGCUCUAGAAGCAUACACCGAUGCUGACUAUGCAGGUUCCCUAGUGGAUCGAAGAUCAACUACAGGGUAUUGUACUUUUCUUGGAGGUAAUCUAGUAACAUGGAGAAGUAAAAAGCAAAAUGUGGUAGCAAGGUCGUCUGCAGAAUCAGAGUUUAGGGUCAUUGCUCAAGGGUUGUGUGAACUACUUUGGUUGAAGAUUAUUCUAGAUGAUUUGAGAAUCAAGUGGGAUGGUCCUAUGAAGCUCUAUUGUGACAACAAGUCAGCUAUCAAUAUUGCUCAUAACCCUAUACAACACGAUAGGACAAAACAUAUUGAGAUUGAUAGACAUUUCAUCAAAGAAAAAUUGGAGGAAGGAGUAGUAUGUAUGUCCUAUGUUCCAUCUGAACAUCAAUUAGCUGAUAUUCUAACAAAAGGGCUGAACAGUUCAAUGUUUCACGAUCUUGUAUUCAAGCUGGGAAUGGAAGACAUCUAUUCCUCAGCUUGAGGGGGAGUGUUGAGCUGUAAAUAGAAUAGGAGAAUUUUUUUUCCUGUAAUGUUAAUUUCCUAUUUCUGUAAAUAGAUAGGUUUAUUAGUUUUCUAUUUCUGUAAAUAGAUAGUUUUAUGAUUUAGAAAUAAGUUAGUUUAGGAAUAAGUUAGUUUCCUAUUAUGUCUCUUGUUUCCUAUUUCUUCUCUUGUAAUCUCCUAUAUAAACCAUGUGUAUAGUCAAUCUAAUAGGUAGAACUUAUUAUUUUUCGUAUCAGACCCUUCAAGUUCAUUAUGCUCCAGGGUCACUCC